rnacentral:precursor_RNA from 15 species
UUCAACGGAACUCUCGCAGCUCUACUUUUGGGAUGCAUUUUGUGCAGAUGUCUAACGAUUGGAAACCCAUCACUGGGCAAAGUGUGUCUCAAAAUUGGGGCAACUAGCACAAAGGAGGAGU